rnacentral:rRNA from 1 species
GACGUAGGGCGCGAGCGUUGUCCGGAUUUAUUGGGCGUAAAGAGCUCGUAGGCGGCUUGUCGCGUCUGCUGUGAAAACCUAAGGCUCAACCUUGGGCUUGCAGUGGGUACGGGCAGACUAGAGUGCGGUAGGGGUGACUGGAAUUCCUGGUGUAGCGGUGGAAUGCGCAGAUAUCAGGAGGAACACCGAUGGCGAAGGCAGGUCACUGGGCCGCAACUGACGCUGAGGAGCGAAAGCAUGGGGAGCGAACAGG